UGGGGAAUUUUGGACAAUGGGCGCAAGCCUGAUCCAGCCAUGCCGCGUGCGGGAAGAAGGCCUUCGGGUUGUAAACCGCUUUUGUCAGGGAAGAAACGCUCUGGGCUAAUACCCUGGGGUAAUGACGGUACCUGAAGAAUAAGCACCGACUAACUACGUGCCAGCAGCCGCGGUAAUACGUAGGGUGCAAGCGUUAAUCGGAAUUACUGGGCGUAAAGCGUGCGCAGGCGGUUAUGCAAGACAGAUGUGAAAUCCCCGGGCUCAACCUGGGAACUGCAUUUGUGACUGUAUAGCUAGAGUACGGUAGAGGGGGAUGGAAUUCCACGUGUAGCAGUGAAAUGCGUAGAUAUGUGGAGGAAUACCGAUGGCGAAGGCAGCCCCCUGGGAUAACACUGACGCUCAUGCACGAAAGCGUGGGGAGCAAACAGGAUUAGAUACCCCCGUAGUCCCUGAGCGGGCUGGCAAGGCGCAU
rnacentral:rRNA from 1 species